rnacentral:rRNA from 1 species
UACGGAGGGUGCGAACGUUAAUCGGAAUCACUGGGCGUAAAGCGCGCGUAGGCGGUCUGUUAAGUGGGAUGUGAAAUCCCCGGGCUUAACCUGGGAAUUGCAUCUCAAACUGGCCGACUAGAGUACGGUAGAGGGAGGUAGAAUUUCCUGUGUAGCGGUGAAAUGCGUAGAUAUAGGAAGGAAUACCAGUGGCGAAGGCGGCCUCCUGGAUCGAUACUGACGCUGAGGCGCGAAAGCGUGGGGAGCAAACAGG